AUGGAGGCCCUGCCCUCCUCCGUGGAGUGGUACGCCCUAUGGUUUCCUUUGACGCAGGCGGGCGUUUGGAAGGUGUGGCUGUGUGAGUUCUGGCUGCUACUGCUGGGUUCCGGUUUGAAAGCGCAUCUUUUGCCGGACGAGGAGGACGUAACGUUUAUCAAUGAGUACGUGAACCUCCACAAUGAGCUCCGGGGCAACGUCUUGCCCCGAGGGGCUAACUUGCGCUUCAUGACUUGGGAUGUAGCUUUGUCACGGACUGCUAGAGCAUGGGGGAAAAAAUGUGUGUUUGAGCGUAAUAUUCAUUUAGAAGAACUAUAUAUGGCCCAUCCUAAAUUUAAUGGUAUUGGUGAAAAUAUAUGGGUCGGCCCUGAAAAUGAAUUUACUGCAAGUAUUGCUAUCAGAAGUUGGUUUCAACAGAGGAAAAAGUACAAUUUUGAAAAGAACAGUUGCUCUGAUAACUGUUCUAACUAUCUACAGCUUGUUUGGGACAGGUCUUACAAAGUCGGUUGUGCUGUUACUCCAUGUUCAAGAAUUGGACGUAUUAAACAUGCAGCACUUUUCAUAUGCAACUAUGCACCAGGAGGAGGUCUGUCGAGAAGGCCUUAUCAGCGAGGAUUAAUGUGCUCUCAAUGCAGCAGCUAUGACAGAUGCACAGACUUUCUAUGCAGUAAGCGAAAGAACAUAAACAUGAAAACAUUCCAUAAUGCACUGAGUGGCAAGAAAAGGAAGUGGAACGCUAGUCUUUCAUUGUCAUGCUAA
rnacentral:lncRNA from 1 species